CUGGCAGCUGGGAGUUUUCUGUUAACUCUCCCCGCGCCUGCUGCCUCUGCUGUGUCUGCAGCCAGACCAUUUCCCCGUGAGCCUCACGGUUCCCGUGACUGUGACACCUAACUGCAAACAGUAGGAGGCAAGGCCACGUUUUCUUCCUGAUGGGGACGUCUGUCUCUGCCCAGGUUCUCUUGGUCCUGCCCCUCCCAGCCCUUUCUGGGGGCCAGUUGCCGUGUCUUUUGCAGCCCCGCAUCAGGAGCCUGACCUCUCGGGUGGAUCCCAGUCUCGGUUCUCCUCCCUGAGGCCUCACCAGGGUGUGUCUCUGUCUCUGGGUCUGUGGUGCCCCCUCGCCCUGCCUGGCCCAGAGCCUCAAGUCAGCUGGCCGUUCCUGUCCUUCCCUUGUGUCCUGCAUUUCUAGAGGGAGUGUUUCCACCUUCUUUUCGUCAGCCCUCAUCCCGCAUCCCUCCACCACCUCCCUGGAUGCAGUAGCUGAGGAACAGCGUGGGCUCAACUGAGUCGUUUUUGUUGCUCUGGGCUGGGCCUCUGAAGUCCUAGUGGCCUUGUUUUGCAGCUGGGGAUAGGUUUGUCCCCCAGGGGCAACUGGCAAUGCCUGGGACAGUUUCAGUGCCAUCCGGGAUGGGCAUGGAUGCAACAGCAUCUAGCCCCCAGGAUGCUGCUGACCAUCUUGCGAUGUCCAGAAGAGCCCUCACCGCAAAGCACCUGGCUCUGUUCACAGUGCCCUCCUGGGCUGCCUCGUCCUGCAGCAUGGCUCUUUCUUAG
rnacentral:lncRNA from 1 species